UACGUAGGGGGCUAGCGUUGUCCGGAAUCAUUGGGCGUAAAGCGCGUGUAGGCGGUUCGGUAAGUCCGCUGUGAAAGUCGGGGGCUCAACCCUCGAAUGCCGGUGGAUACUGUCGGACUAGAGUACGGAAGAGGCGAGUGGAAUUCCUGGUGUAGCGGUGAAAUGCGCAGAUAUCAGGAGGAACACCGGUGGCGGAAGGCGGAUCUCUGGGCCAACACUGACGCUGAGGAGCGAAAGCCAGGGGAGCAAAACGGG
rnacentral:rRNA from 1 species